rnacentral:rRNA from 1 species
GACGAACGCUGGCGGCGUGCCUAAUACAUGCAAGUCGAACGCUGAAGCGAGGAGCUUGCUCUUCUUGGAUGAGUUGCGAACGGGUGAGUAACGCGUAGGUAACCUGCCUUGUAGCGGGGGAUAACUAUUGGAAACGAUAGCUAAUACCGCAUAACAAUGGAUGGCACAUGUCAUUUAUUUGAAAGGGGCAAUUGCUCCACUACAAGAUGGACCUGCGUUGUAUUAGCUAGUAGGUGAGGUAAUGGCUCACCUAGGCGACGAUACAUAGCCGACCUGAGAGGGUGAUCGGCCACACUGGGACUGAGACACGGCCCAGACUCCUACGGGAGGCAGCAGUAGGGAAUCUUCGGCAAUGGGGGCAACCCUGACCGAGCAACGCCGCGUGAGUGAAGAAGGUUUUCGGAUCGUAAAGCUCUGUUGUAAGUCAAGAACGGGUGUGAGAGUGGAAAGUUCACACUGUGACGGUAGCUUACCAGAAAGGGACGGCUAACUACGUG